CAAUUGAUGCUGGUUGAUUUACAGGUUUUGUAUAGCAUGUGAUAUGAAAUGUCAUAAACUGUCAGCCACAUCGCUUUUAUUUUAAAUAAUUGCAUCAAACUAAGCAUGACGUAAUGUGGCAAGAUGACUAGAGAACUGCUGGUGCAUAUCUUUCUGCUUUCUCGCUCUGGAUGCAUGUUGUACGAAUGAGCUGAGCAGUGACCAAUCAUGAGGCGCAGUAGCCAGUUGUCACACCCUGUGGUACAUUGAGCAGGAGGCGUAGCAGUUGUAACAUUGAGUGCCCAGCAGUUGUGGAGGGAACUGAAUUGGCUCACUAAUGACAGUACAGCAUUAACUUUGAAUGGUGUACGGCUACUGCAGGACCUGAGAACAUGAAUAAAAAUAAUUCAUUUUAAAUUGA